AUGCUAUUAAAUCGACUAGGACCUGUUAUCGAACCGAAGCUUAUUGCACAACAAGCAGGUUUCAGACCAGGGAAAAACUGUACAGGUCAAAUUCUUCAUCUGACUGAACAUAUCGAGGAAGGCUACGAGAAAGGCUGCAUCACGGGAACAGUUUUUGUGGACCUUACGGCAGCCUAUGACACGGUGCAACAUAGAAAAAUGCUGCAUAAAGUCUACCAUAUCACCCGGGACUUUGACUUUACAAAAACUGUCCAGACCCUCUUAGAAAACAGCAGCUUCUAUGUGGAGUUUCAGGGCCAGAAAAGCAGAUGGAGGAGGCAAAAGAAUGGUUUAACCCAAGGCAGCGUUCUUGCACCGACCUUAUUUAACAUCUUCACGAACGAUCAGCCACUACCACCACUCACAAAGAGCUUUAUAUAUGCUGAUGACCUUGGCCUUACAACACAAGCAAAAGAUUUUGAAACAGUUGAAAAGCAACUCACCAAUGCCUUGAAAGAUCUCUCCAGCUACUACAAAGAGAACCACCUGAAGCCUAACCCUGCCAAGACACAAGUGUGUGCUUUCCACCUACGUAACUGCGAAGCCAACAGGAAACUGAAAGUUACUUGGGAAGGCCAAGAGCUCGAACACUGUUUCCAUCCUAAAUACCUUGGUGUCACCUUAGACCGAACACUAACAUAUAGGAAACACUGCAUGAACACCAAGCACAAAGUAGCUGCACGCAAUAACAUCCUGCGGAAACUGACUGGCAGCGCAUGGGGAGCAGACUCACAAGUAAUAAGAACAUCAGCCCUGGCCUUGUCUUUCUCAACUGCAGAGUAUGCCUGUCCUGUUUGGCACAAGUCUGCCCAUGCAAAGCAGGUGGACAUCGCACUGAAUGAAACAUGCAGAAUCAUCACGGGAUGCCUUAAACCUACACCUGUCGAUAAACUCUACAAGUUAGCUGGCAUUGCCCCUCCUGACGUGCGACGGGAAGUUGCUGCUAACGGUGAGAGAGAAAAGGUUGAACAUUGUGAAAGCCACCCACUGCAUGGCUAUCACCCUCCUCCCACCAGACUCAAAUCAAGGAAGGGCUUCAUGAGAACCACCACUCCUCUUGAUGUUCCUCCAGCAACAGCAAGGGUGUCU
rnacentral:lncRNA from 1 species